AUUGAACGCUGGCGGCAGGCCUAACACAUGCAAGUCGAACGAGUGGCGGACGGGUGAGUAAUGUCUGGGAAACUGCCUGAUGGAGGGGGAUAACUACUGGAAACGGUAGCUAAUACCGCAUACCAUCAGAUGUGCCCAGAUGGGAUUAGCGAGUUGGUGGGGUAACUGCUCACCAAGGCGACGAUCCCUAGCUGGUCUGAGAGGAUGACCAGCCACACUGUAACUGAGACGCGGUCCAGACGCCUACGUGAGGCAGCAUUGGGGAAUAUUGCACAAUGGGCGCAAUCCUUAUGCAGCCAAGCCGCGUGUAUGAAGAAGGCCUUCAGGUUGUAGAGUACUUUCAGCGAGGAGGCGUUACCCGCAGAAGAAGCACCGGCUAACUCCGUGCCAGCCGCCGCGGUAAUUC
rnacentral:rRNA from 1 species